UACGUAGGGGGCAAGCGUUAUCCGGAAUUACUGGGUGUAAAGGGUGAGUAGGCGGCAUGGUAAGCCAGAUGUGAAAGCCUUGGGCUUAACCCGAGGAUUGCAUUUGGAACUAUCAAGCUAGAGUACAGGAGAGGAAAGCGGAAUUCCUAGUGUAGCGGUGAAAUGCGUAGAUAUACGGAGGAACACCAGUGGCGAAGGCGGAUUGCUGGACAGUAACUGACGCUGAGGCGCGAAAGCGUGGGGAUCGAACAGG
rnacentral:rRNA from 1 species